AGCAAGCUUUGGAUCUACUGAAUGUGUAUUUUUCAAGCAUUUUAUUGCAGGGUUCACUGUUAUUUUUCUGCAUAGCGAUGACUCGUGAAAAGUGUUUAUUAAUUUACUUCAAUGUAUAGUUAACCAGAAUUCUGUCUUUUACGUUUUACCAAACCUCUUACUUUUGUUUCUCUGCAGAACUCAAAAGAAGAUACUUUGAAGAAUGCUGGUAAUCAAACCCAACAAGUUUGUCAGGUGCAGAAAUAAAAGCUCCCAAACAAAGAUGUCAUCGGAUUAAGAUGUGGAAAGACAUGUUCCACCACAACAACCAUAAAUCCUGAGUAAUUUGAAAAUGGGCAACAACCGAGGAAAAGUACCCAUUGUUUUAGUCAGAAAUGAUUCAUGGUAAUAGUAAUAGUAAAUGAUUAGA